UUGAAAGGGAAACGAUUGAAGUCAGUCAUACCAACGGGAAAUCAACCUCUUGAGCUCGGUCUCGUGGGUUUUGAAGAGUUUCAAAGCCUUCGGAUUCGCGGGAUUGGGAUCUCUUGGUGUACUUUUUCGUACGGUUAGUCAACAUCGGUUUUGUAUGUCAUAAAAUGACUGGAGGAAUGUAGCUUCGAUCUCGUAUUGAAGUGUUAUAGCCUUUGGUAGAUGUGAUGUUUGAGACCGAGGAUUGCAACGGAUACCCUUCAGGGCUAUUCGUCUGAUCUCUGAUACGUUGCCUUGAUGUUGAAAGCUCGCUUAUGAUGAAAGGGUAUUACGGUCAAAAGGUUAGAACGAAUUACAUUCGUUAAGGAUGUUGACGUA
rnacentral:rRNA from 1 species